rnacentral:misc_RNA from 1 species
AACCGCCGUAUGCGGACUUGCAUGUACGGUGUGUGAGAGGACGGAGGUUAGUCGCCCCCUCCUACUCGAU